UCUCCAAAGUUCAGAUCUACCGACAUACAGUUAACAAUUUAUUCAGGGUGGUGGGACGUAAACUAAAAGACCAUGAGGUGGUGAUCAAUUGUGCCAUUCUUAAAAAUUUGAAAUACAAUAAGGCUACGCCCACAUUUCACCAGUGGAGAGACAGUCGUCAUGUAUAUGGUCUUAAUUUUGCGACCAAAGAAGAUUCAGAAAUAUUUGCAAAUGCGAUGUUGACAGCAUUAGACGCACUGAACAAUCAAGGAAAAUGAAUGGCUGCUCCAGCAGGUCUCAAGACAAAAGGAACUGAAGAUAAUAAAUAACACUCAAUAUAAUGGUGGUUAUCAUUAAGGGAGUGCAGUGCGCCUUGUUAUGUAUUUAUGUGAACCAUUUAUACUUGAUAUAUGCUACAUUUAAAAACAAUUGAUAUCGUGAUCAUAACCUAGUUUCUACUUGACUGUUCUAUAAAUAUCUGAGUAUAUAGACAAUUUUAGAAAAUUAUAUUUAUGUAGAAUCUACAUGUAUCUAGAUACAAAAUGUAUGUUGCUACAGAAGAAUAUUCAGAAAAAUUCUUUUUUUUUUCACAAAUAGUUUCGCAUUUCUUAAAAUGAUAGCUUUAUGUUAAACGAUAGUAGAAUUUUAGCAUAUAAAUAUUGAAUUACAUUUACUACAAUGAUUAGUACGGAAUCUCUAGAAUUAUUUUAGUCAUUCUUUGUCAGGAAUUAUUUCUAGUUAAACAUCUGUGGGAAUACUAUACUUACAAUUAUAUUUGACAUUUGAAAGAAAAAUAUAUGAACACAUUGAUGUUUAAUUAGACAGGAUUGACGUUUAAUAAGGCCUGUUCGUUAUUUUAUAAAGCUGCUGUUAAACACUUGAAAUUUUUGUAUUUUAUUGUUGUUUAUUGUUUUUUUAUCGUAACAGUCGUAUUUCUGUUUAAUCAAUCAGGGUUGCCAAAUCUUGCUCGACAUUAUACAUUGUCUACAGUAAAUUCUUUUGUGCGUCAGCAUAAAAAUUAAAAAGUUUUUGUUACAUUACUGUGUUGAUGAAGAAUGUUUUUAUGGAAUUGCACUUUUAAUUACUAUUGAAGCAAUUCGACACUACGUUCGACCAAAAAUGACCCAGAUUAUACAAAAUACAUGACACUUGUUCCACAUUUGUAAGGAAAAAAAUGAGUUGAUAAGUAUUUUUUUCUGUUUUCAAAAAGGGCUGAAUAUUAAAAAGGCUGAAAGAGCACUAUCUUCACAAAAAGUUUUAAUUGGUAAAGACAGUACAAUUUAUACAAAACUUACAAAGAUUUAAACAGUAUGGCAUUGUUUAAAACUUAAGAUAAUGAAUAUGUCCAUGAGGUUUGCACGCAGAAAAUACCAAAAGAGAAAGAGGUCAAAUAAUUAUAAAAUUUGCUGGCGUAAGAUAAUUGUUACUUCGUGGAUAGUGUUCGUGUAAUGAAAUAAAUAGAAAAUGUGGAUGUAUUAGGCAACCUUACAUAAACCAUAGUCAUCUAAUGAACCUAUGGGUCAAAGUGUAGUAUCUCGUCGUACAUAAACGUAUUGUAAGAGACCUGUGGUCGCAUUCAUAAAGCUCCUAAGGAGGAGAAAUACAAAUGUACCACAUUAUUUUCUUUCGCUUUUACAUAAAAUCUAAGUAUUUUCCCAAGCUUUUAAAAUUUUACAAUAAGUAUCCAUAAAACAAAGUAGAAAAUGAAAAACAUUAUCAACAAAGAUGGUCUCUUGAUACUGGGUCGGUUGGGGGUUGCGUUCAUUGAACACCGCCUUUCCUUGUUGAUCUUGUUUAUCAUGUUUUUCAUUCAAAUAACGCAUUCCUAAACACAGGAACACCGGCAAGGACACUUCCUUUACUUCCAUAAGCGGCAAAUUUCUUUACUUUAGCCGAUUCCUUUUCUUAGAAUUCAAAUCCAUUAAUGCUCAUUUUAGUUUAAAUUAAAAAAAUAGUAGAAAAUCCUAAAACUAAAUGGCUUGUGUACUUUUUCCAAUGAUAGAUCAAAUACGUUUCAAUAAUGAAAUUAACCAUAUUUUUCAAAUACAUUUCUGUUAAAAUCUUGUUUUUUAUUAAUGUAUUACCUAACGUAAAUUCCCGUAUAGGGGUAUUGUUGUUGAUUUUUCAGAUAAUUGUGCUUUAUUGUUUUUUAAAGUUUCACUUGAUUCACAUUAAGCUACCUUUAUAUAAGGAAUUAUUAUUCAUUCACUGCUUUUUUAAGUUUGGCAUUUAAAGCAUUUUACAAUACAUAUUACAAUCUUACAAUUCAGUUAUACUGUUUGUUUUAUGAUAUGAUUUGUUUUCAAAUAUAUUUCAUUUUAUUAUUUUCAUAUGUCUUAAGAUUUUAAACAUUUUCACUAUAAUUUUAUGUCCGAUCACUUUUAUUGUUUAAAACAGCACAGCACGCCUUCAGAUUCAUGUUCAUUGUUAUAAAAAAUUAGAAAUGUAUUUAAAAGUAAAAUAAUGUAAGGUGAACAAAAAAAGUAAUUUUCAUAUCACAAUCGGCACUUACAUCCACGAAAACUACCAAAAAGUGGGCAACAUAUGCAAUACAGCCCUUACUGCUUUAGUAACGCAAUAAAAUCCCGCAAAAUCAGUCUUAAACCGCACAUAACCUGUAAACUUUAACUUGGAUCUUAAAUGUUUUUACCUUUCUUAAAAUGUUAGUACAUUUUUCCCAAUAUUGAUUUUUCUUGGGUUUCUUGGAAUAUUUUGGCUCAUCGGGAGGCAUGCAGCUUUAAAGAUUUUCACUAUGAUUAAAUUUUCGAUCACAAAUCUAUUUUAUGUAUAAUCUCACACUGAUAUCACUAUUUCGAUAUUCCUGGGUAUAAUUAACAUGUGUGUUAUCUCAUGUGUAUAGCAUGUAAUCAGUAUUUACACUAAUCAUUUGCUUAUAAAAGAUUAAAAAAUGAUUAGUUAGAAUUUGAGACAGUGUAUAUUUAUGCAUGUAUUUAUAUUGUGUACGAUAAUUAGAAACUUGUUUUCU